rnacentral:rRNA from 1 species
AUACGGAGGGUGCAAGCGUUAAUCGGAAUUACUGGGCGUAAAGGGCGCGUAGGCGGUCUAUCAAGUCAGGUGUGAAAUCCCACGGCUCAACCGUGGAGGUGCAUCCGAAACUGAUAGACUUGAGUAUGGGAGAGGAAAGUGGAAUUCCCGGUGUAGAGGUGAAAUUCGUAGAUAUCGGGAGGAACACCAGUGGCGAAGGCGACUUUCUGGACCAAUACUGACGCUGAGGCGCGAAAGCGUGGGGAGCAAACAGGAUUAGAAACCCCAGUAGUCC